rnacentral:misc_RNA from 1 species
GGAAGGAUCAUUAACACGUGUUUCACACACGUAUUAACUCUAUCAACCAAUCGCGAACUGUUAUUAACUUUAUUUUUACUUUUUUUAUCUGGUCUAAUUCUUUUUGGUAUUCGAUGAUCUCUUGACACUAAUACUGUUCGAUUGAGGACGUCUUGAGUAUCGAAACACAAAAUAAAUACGAAACAACUCUUAGCAACGGAUAUCUUGGUUCUCGUAACGAUGAAGAGCGCAGCGAAAUGCGAUACGUAAUGCGAAUUGCAGAAUUCAGUGAAUCAUCAAAUUCUUGAACGCAACCGGCGCCUUCAGGUCUUCCUGGAGGCACGUUUCUCUCAGUGUCGGUUUCACUUACUCCUCUACCAAGAGGGAAUAUGAGCGUUAUGAUGUUACAAUCGUAUCGCUUGAAAUUCAAUGAGUCGGUGUUGCAUAGUUGGGGUGUUCACUUCACGGUGAGUAUUCCGCUGCUGACAACUUAAUGAUGUGAGUAAUUCGUCUUCGGAUGAUACCUUACAUUAAUUAACUGUUGGUGGUUCACUAUGUUAAUACUAGCGUAACCUGUAGCAAGAGUGAUCGAAAGAUCCACUCUUCUCAAACAUAUGACCUGAGAUGAAGCGAGGCUACCCGCGGAAUUUAAGCAUAUUAUUACGCGGAGGAAAAGAAACUAACAAGGAUUCCCCUAGUAACGGCGAGUGAAGCGGGAAGAGCUCAAGUUUAAAAUCGGUGUGCAUUAGUACAUCGAGUUGUAGUCUCGAGACAUGCUGUCUGCGGUGACGUCGGUACAAGUACCUUGGAAGAGGUUAUCAGAGAGGGUGACAAUCCCGUCGCUGACCGACAGAUCGCCGCUUUCGACGUAUGUUCACAGAGUCGGAUUGCUUGGGAGUGCAGUCCUAAUUGGGUGGUAAAUUUCAUCUAAAGCUAAAUAUUGACGAGAGACCGAUAGCGAACAAGUACCGUGAGGGAAAGAUGAAAAGAACUUUGAAAAGAGAGUCAAAAAGUACUUGAACUUGUUAAGAGGGAAGAGCUGAAAACUAGUAUUGCCGUUGUGGGUGAAACGGGUGUUUGCUGUGAGUUUAAACCGCAGUGGGCAUUCGAAUUAUUCAUAGCGGUCCCUCUCAUUGCGAGUAGGUCAGCAUCAUUUCGGAGUGUGGGAGAAAGUUAGGGGGAAGGUGAGGUCUUCGGAUCUGUUAUAGCCCUCUAGCCAUACCAUGUUCUGGAUUGAGGAUUUGUAUCGGCGCUCCGUUUUACGGAGUGACAACUUGGCUCCUCAUGUCUAUCAGGUGCUGGAAAACAAUGUUUUGCGGUGUCUGGUAGGUGUGACAGGGUUGGGAAGUCGCAGCGUUGACGCGAUGCUGACGAAAUGGUUUUCAACUACCCGUCUUGAAACACGGACCAAGGAGUCUAACAUAUAUGCGAGUAUUUGGGUGGAAAACCCUGGUGCGUAAUGAAAGUAAAGGACUCUUCGGAGUCUGAGGUAGGAAUCCCGCAAGGGAGGCACUAUCGACCGAUCGUCACUUGUGAAAGAUUUGAGUAAGAGCAUAUCUGUUGGGACCCGAAAGAUGGUGAUCUAUGCCUGAACAGGGUGAAGCCAGGGGAAACUCUGGUGGAGGCUCGUAGCGAUACUGACGUGCAAAUCGUUCGUCUGAUUUGGGUAUAGGGGCGAAAGACUAAUCGAACUAUCUAGUAGCUGGUUCCCUC